AACACUCCCCAAAGAUUCAUUUGACCCCAGCACCAAACUCCAUUAAGGCCCCCAGACACAUGCCGCCAGCCAGGGAGUGAUUUAGAACCCACCGUCAUACUCCGUUCCUCUGGUUAAAGCAAUGGCUGGCCAAGAGGGCAGACAACAUCGCCAAAUACAGAAAGGAAGGAAGAAGUGGGAACGGAGAGGAAGAGGACCUUGAGGGGGAAGCAUGAAUGGAGGGCCAUCUCCCAAGGCAAGAGCGGGGAGCACAGCCAUGCCCCUAGCUCUAGUUGGUCACUUCCAAGCACUGCCAUCCCCAAGGAGAGCAAAAUUAGGAGCUGAGGUGAGAAAAGUCCUGGUAAAGCCACUGCCACAUCAUCCGACUCCACAAAAUGACACAUAGGACACCACUUUUUGUUACCGUGGAAGACCUGGGAAAGAGGUGGCCGGCCAGCAACAGCAGACUCAGCCCAAAGCCCUGGCUCAGCCCAUGACAAAGCUUCAGGAACCCUCCUCGUAGUCUGCCUGCAGUUGGCCCAGCUUAUCACAAGGCAAACGGCAGCCUGACUGUGUCUCUGAAUGGCAUAUCAAGGAGAGAGCACUCCACGGGGAGCUAGCCGAGGACUCAAUGGUUAUCUUGUGCCAUUUGGGCCCCUGUGUUUUACAGCUUGUCACAUUAAACAGGAUGAUGCACAUAAAGUGCUAAGCACCAUG